CUGCAACGGCCUGCGGGCUCCCCAUCCGACCCGUCUUGAAACACGGACCAAGGAGUCUGACAUGCGUGCGAGUCGACGGGUUUUGAAACCUGGGAUGCGCAAGGAAGCUGACGAGCGGGAGGCCCUCACGGGCCGCACCGCUGGCCCAGCCUGAUCUGCUGUGAAGGGCUGGAGUUGGAGCACGCCUGGNGGGACCCCUAGGAAGCUCAGCCA
rnacentral:ncRNA from 1 species